rnacentral:rRNA from 1 species
UACGAAGGGGGCUAGCGUUGUUCGGAAUCACUGGGCGUAAAGCGCUCGUAGGCGGAUAUUUAAGUCAGGGGUGAAAGCCUGGAGCUCAACUCCAGAACUGCCUUUGAUACUGGGUAUCUUGAGUCCGGUAGAGGUGAGUGGAACUGCUAGUGUAGAGGUGAAAUUCGUAGAUAUUAGCAAGAACACCAGUGGCGAAGGCGGCUCACUGGACCGGUACUGACGCUGAGGAGCGAAAGCGUGGGGAGCAAACAGG